rnacentral:tRNA from 1 species
GCUUUCGUGGUGUAAUGGUCAGCACACUGAGCCGGUAAUUCAGAGGUCCGCGGUUCGAUUCCUGGCGAAGGCA